UACGUAGGGGGCAAGCGUUGUCCGGAUUUAUUGGGCGUAAAGCGCUCGCAGGUGGUUCAUUGCGUCGUGCGUGAAAGACCCCGGCUCAACUGGGGAGGGUCGUGCGAAACGGGUGAACUAGAGGCCAGUAGGGGGAUGCAGAAUUCCAGGUGUAGCGGUGAAAUGCGUAGAUAUCUGGAGGAAUACCGGUGGCGAAGGCGGCAUCCUGGACCGGCAUUGACGCUGAGGAGCGAAAGCGAGGGGAGCAAACGGG
rnacentral:rRNA from 1 species